ensembl:misc_RNA Metazoa_SRP Metazoan signal recognition particle RNA
GCUGGGCGCUGUGGCGGGCGCCUGUAAUCCCAGCUACUCAGGAGGCUGAGGCAGGAGAAUCGCUUGAACCCGGGAGGUGGAACUUGGAGUGAGCGGAGAUCGUGCCAUUACACUCCAGCCUGGGCGAACAAGUGAGACUCUGCCUCAA